AGAGAGAGAGAGAGAGAGAAAGAGAGGGAAAAGUUGCCUAAGCGGUAGCAGCAAGUCACCACCAUCAGGACUGUUAUUGAAGAGAUCUUUCCAUUGACGCUCGUCGGUUCUUGGCGAUAAGGCUGCACAUACUCUCUCGGUUAGGCUCAUAAGUUAUUACAGUAGUCAACACAAUGGCUGACACUGCUGCGUCCAACGGUGCAAGCUGCGUGGAGAAGCUGAAAAGUUACGCGAGGACCCGUAAAGGUUUUAUCCUCGCUGCAGAAAUACUCCUCAGUUUUAUUAUCAUCAUCUGCUAUGCUGCGUCUCAUUAUGGAGGUUACUCUGCUCUGGCCAUCUGCGAGAUGAUCUUCGCCAUGGUCUUCUUCGGUAUCUUCAUGAUGGAUAUGGACAAACAGUUCACAAUGGUCAACUGGAUGUGGAGUGAUCUUUUCCGUGCUGGUAUUGGUGCCGUCCUUUACAUCAUCACUUCUCUGAUCUGUGUGAUUGGAGGUUCUGGGGACGGUGCACGUAUCGCAGGCGGGGUAUUUGGUUUGAUCGCUGGUCUGCUGUUUGCUUAUGACACCUACACCAUCUUCCUGCAAGUCAAGGCAACCAGGCAACACACAGCAGCCUCCACCGAUGACAGAGUUUAAACACUCCAGCAUGCUUGUGCCUCUGUCAAGUAAGCAGCAGGAGAAGAAGAGGAAGUUUGUGCAGGAAUGAACGGAAGAGUGAAUCAGAGGGGAUGAUGGACAGUAAAACGAACGGGUCUCAGUUUAAACAAAGCUAAUGUAUAGUGUGAAGAGAGACGAGAGAUUUCUUUUAAGGCCACGCCUGAAAUGAGGAUGACAUAGCCUGAGUGAGCGGUACUGUACAUCUGUGCCUGUAUCUGUGUCUACCACAUGAAGAAUCCCCCUCACAAACCUCAAUGUUCCACUGAAGCUCAAUGUUUGAUCUGAUUGAAAAGGGAAAACUGUAAAUAAUAAGCAAUGUAAAACUUUGGUUGUUAUCAUCAUCACACAGUUUGUCUAAUACACAUUUCUACUUUUAAUGAACUGCUGUAGUAAGGAGUAACUGUGUCAUUUGGGACUGUUAAAGUAACUGACUCAUGAAUGGUUGCUUUAUGAAUUGUUUAAUAUCAUAAUCAUAAUGAGUUUGUUUUCUGUAUUUUCAGUGAGGUUUAUCAGCUGGUUAUCCAUUUCCCACUCUUUUUUAAACCAUUGGUUUUUAAAGUGCCUUUAAAGGACAAGUUCAUAAUUUCCAAGUCUUCCCUAAAAGAGAUGUCAGAAGCCCAAAUAACAUGUACAUGGUUUUUUUGCUGUAAUCAUUCCUCCUGUUCAUACUGACCAUUAGAAGAUCUCUUCAUAAUGCAUUUACAAUGUUAAUGGGAGCUAGAAUAUACAAUCCUUCUUCUCUUCAAAAAUGUAUUUAAAGUUUAUUUGAAGCUGAUAAGAAGCUUCAGCUGUCCAAAUUAUCUUUCAACAUUACAGUCUUUUUAGUGCCAAAUUCCUUCCUUUUGUUACUAUUUGAUCACUACAGCUAAACAGAAAAACACUAUCCUUAAAGUAGACUCACAGAUUGGUCUUAACACUUUACUCAUAGAAACUGAGAAUAAUGGCUCAAGUUUCUUUGUUAAAACUGGGUAGAAACUAUUUUUAAAAAAAACCUGCAUUGCAGAGCUAAUCCAAGGUCUUUGGAGCUGUAGCAUGCAGUUCACAACAGAGGAGAAUGAAAGGCGAGUAUAAUUUCUGAUAAGGCGUGUCCUUGACAAAAUGUAAGGGGAGUAGGUUUGUUAGCGCCUGUUCUCACCACUGUUUAACCUACUACUGUACAUUUAGACAUUCCCAGACUUCGGUAGGCGGAGAUUUCUGAUUGUCUGGUAUUGCAAGACUAUCCUUUAAGACACAAAGUGGAACACUUUUACUAAGAAGACUGUAAAUGUGGAAGAUAUCACCUUUUUACUUGGAGGGGAACUUCUAAUGGCUAAUAUGAAGCGGAAGAAUGAUUACAGCGACCAAGCAAAGCCAACAUUCAAAUGGGCACCUGACUGUUUUAAGACAGACUUUAAAAAAUAGUGAACCUCUUCUUUAAAUCUCAUUCAAAUGAACAAGUUCCUUCACCUUAUUUGCCUUUUUUUACCUCAACAUUUGACGUGAUCUACCGGCACUGAUCAACAAACGUUUUGGCUUAUUUUUGUACUAAUCAGAAUUUGGUCUGCAUCAUUAGCAGCCGUUGACAUCCAGUAACCAUCAACCACAUGUUCAUUGUUGCAUUUCUAAAAUGAUUUGCAUCAUCCUCCAGUUUUACAUGUCUAAUGAUAUGUAUUGAUGUGUAUCUGAUUCUUGCUCAGGUCUUUUGUUUGUUUUUUUCUUACACUUGUAACACAUUUGUAAGUCACACAACAUGUCAUACAGUCCAGUUUUACAGUCCAGUUGU